UACGUAGGGCGCGAGCGUUGUCCGGAAUUAUUGGGCGUAAAGAGCUCGUAGGUGGCUUGUUGCGUCUGCCGUGAAAGCCCGUGGCUUAACUACGGGUCUGCGGUGGAUACGGGCAGGCUAGAGGCUGGUAGGGGCAAGCGGAAUUCCUGGUGUAGCGGUGAAAUGCGCAGAUAUCUGGAGGAACACCGGUGGCGAAGGCGGCAUCCUGGACCGGCAUUGACGCUGAGGCGCGAAAGCCAGGGGAGCAAACGGG
rnacentral:rRNA from 1 species